rnacentral:rRNA from 1 species
UACCCGCAGCUCAAGUGGUGGUCAUUAUUAUUGGGCCUAAAGCGUCCGUAGCUGGCCUGUUAGAUGCCUGGGUAAAUCGAUGCGCUCAACGCAUCGAAUUCCGGGUAGACCGGCAGGCUCGAGACCGGGAGAGGUGUAGGCUACUCGCGGGGUAGGGGUAAAAUCCUGUAAUCCUGCGGGGAGGACCAGUGGCGAAGGCGCUACACUAGAACGGCUCUGACAGUGAGGGACGAAGCCCUGGGGCGCAAACCGG